rnacentral:rRNA from 1 species
GGAUUAACGCUAGCGGCAGGCUUACUCCAUGCAAGUUGAACGGCAGCACAGGUAGCCCUACUGGGUGGCGAGUGGCGCACGGGUGCGUAACACGUAUGCAACCUACCCUAUACAGGCGAAUAACCUUUAGAAAUGAGGGCUAAUACGCCGUAGUAUUACAGAUGGGCAUCUAUUUGUAAUUAAAGAUUUAUCGGUAUAGGAUGGGCAUGCGUCCCAUUAGUUAGUUGGUAAGGUAACGGCUUACCAAGACGAUGAUGGGUAGGGGAUCUGAGAGGACUUACCCCCGCACUGGUACUGGGACACGGACCAGGCUCCUACGGGAGGCAGCAGUAAGGAAUAUUGGGCAAUGGCCGCGAGGCUGACCCAGCCAUGCCGCGUGCAGGAAGGCGGCCUUAUGGGUUGUAAACUGCUUUUAGACGGGAAUAAUAGAGUGUACGCGUACAUUUAUGCAAGUAUCGUAUGAAUAAGCAUCGGCUAACUCCGUG